GGCCUUUCGGGGUACACGAGCGGCGAACGGGUGAGUAACACGUGGGUGAUCUGCCCUGCACUUCGGGAUAAGCCUGGGAAACUGGGUCUAAUACCGGAUAUGACCUCCUGUUGCAUGACGUGGGGUGGAAAGAUUUAUCGGUGCAGGAUGGGCCCGCGGCCUAUCAGCUUGUUGGUGGGGUAAUGGCCUACCAAGGCGACGACGGGUAGCCGACCUGAGAGGGUGACCGGCCACACUGGGACUGAGACACGGCCCAGACUCCUACGGGAGGCAGCAGUGGGGAAUAUUGCACAAUGGGCGAAAGCCUGAUGCAGCGACGCCGCGUGAGGGAUGACGGCCUUCGGGUUGUAAACCUCUUUCAGCAGGGACGAAGCGCAAGUGACGGUACCUGCAGAAGAAGCACCGGCUAACUACGUGCCAGCAGCCGCGGUAAUACGUAGGGUGCAAGCGUUGUCCGGAAUUACUGGGCGUAAAGAGUUCGUAGGCGGUUUGUCGCGUCGUUUGUGAAAACCAGCAGCUCAACUGCUGGCUUGCAGGCGAUACGGGCAGACUUGAGUACUGCAGGGGAGACUGGAAUUCCUGGUGUAGCGGUGAAAUGCGCAGAUAUCAGGAGGAACACCGGUGGCGAAGGCGGGUCUCUGGGCAGUAACUGACGCUGA
rnacentral:rRNA from 1 species